rnacentral:rRNA from 1 species
GGGUUGUGAGGUUAAGCGACUAAGCGUACACGGUGGAUGCCCUGGCAGUCAGAGGCGAUGAAGGACGUGCUAAUCUGCGAUAAGCGUCGGUAAGGUGAUAUGAACCGUUAUAACCGGCGAUUUCCGAAUGGGGAAACCCAGUGUGAUUCGUCACACUAUCAUUAACUGAAUCCAUAGGUUAAUGAGGCGAACCGGGGGAACUGAAACAUCUAAGUACCCCGAGGAAAAGAAAUCAACCGAGAUUCCCCCAGUAGCGGCGAGCGAACGGGGAGCAGCCCAGAGCCUGAAUCAGUGUGUGUGUUAGUGGAAGCGUCUGGAAAGGCGUGCGAUACAGGGUGACAGCCCCGUACACAAAAAUGCACAUACUGUGAGCUCGAUGAGUAGGGCGGGACACGUGGUAUCCUGUCUGAAUAUGGGGGGACCAUCCUCCAAGGCUAAAUACUCCUGACUGACCGAUAGUGAACCAGUACCGUGAGGGAAAGGCGAAAAGAACCCCGGCGAGGGGAGUGAAAAAGAACCUGAAACCGUGUACGUACAAGCAGUGGGAGCACGCUUAGGCGUGUGACUGCGUACCUUUUGUAUAAUGGGUCAGCGACUUAUAUUCUGUAGCAAGGUUAACCGAAUAGGGGAGCCGAAGGGAAACCGAGUCUUAACUGGGCGUUAAGUUGCAGGGUAUAGACCCGAAACCCGGUGAUCUAGCCAUGGGCAGGUUGAAGGUUGGGUAACACUAACUGGAGGACCGAACCGACUAAUGUUGAAAAAUUAGCGGAUGACUUGUGGCUGGGGGUGAAAGGCCAAUCAAACCGGGAGAUAGCUGGUUCUCCCCGAAAGCUAUUUAGGUAGCGCCUCGUGAAUUCAUCUCCGGGGGUAGAGCACUGUUUCGGCAAGGGGGUCAUCCCGACUUACCAACCCGAUGCAAACUGCGAAUACCGGAGAAUGUUAUCACGGGAGACACACGGCGGGUGCUAACGUCCGUCGUGAAGAGGGAAACAACCCAGA